GUUUUCCAGCCUGUCAAGAAGUAUGUUAUGAGUAUGGAUAUGAUGAAUGAACAAUGACAUUAUUUAUUAAAGGGCUCCAACAACAGUUUAUCAGUUUUGCCAUCAUUACAGCUGCGGCGUGGACUUCCAGAAUUAGAGUGAUGGAGCUCUUGGAGUUAACAAGCCUUUAAAGAUUCAGUGACCCUCAGGGGGUCUGGUGCUUUUGGCCCGUUGGUAUUUUGCAUGCGAAUUUGUUACUUGGCCGUUCUUGGACGCGGGGAGGAUAACUGACCAGGGGACAGAGGUUUGUCCGCACCAUCGAGCUCCACUCCUUGGGGUCGACAGAUGAAAACUGAUAGUUGGUCGUUAUUUAAUCACCUCUUGGCGGAGGGCAGAGGUCACCAAAGGAAAAAAGCAUACCAGUGUCGGCCCAGUACACUUUAUUCCCUUCAUCCGUCAAGAGCAGUGAAGUCGGCCGGACUGAACUAUUCCACACCACUGUCCUGUUCUGUCCAUUCAUAUAGGCACACUCCACCCUGGUCACCUGACCUCCCUGGACCUUGUUUGAAAAGCAGAGGCGCCCACUGGGUGGGUCCAAAGCAAUGGACUCAAUGACACCAACACCGUUCUGUAUCAACACACUGGUGUGUGUGCCGUCUGGUGAGGUGACCUGCAGGCCGGGCAUCUUCUCGCUGCUCCAGUACACAUUCAGGGUGAUCCAGUCCACGGCAAACACACGCAGUGAGUCUUUAUGUAGCUGGAGAAGUUUCCCACGAGGCACCAGCGUGUUGUCCUUCAUCUUGAAGAGCCUCACGACGGGCUGACCACCAUCAGACACGUACAGGGUAUGAAGGGCAACACCUGUGUGACUGCAGCAGGAGAAAGAAACAGCAGGAAAGAUGAGUCUCUGGGUUUGGAGCAGGUGAGUCCAU